AGCAGCCGCGGUAAUUCCAGCUCCAAUAGCGUAUAUUAAAGUUGUUGCAGUUAAAAAGCUCGUAGUUGAAUUUCGGGAUCAAUAUAUUGGUCAUGCUUAGGUAUGUACUGGUAUUAUUGAUUUCUCCCUUCUGAAGAACCAUGAUGUCAUUAGUUUGAUGUCGUGGGGAAUCAGGACUGUUACUUUGAAAAAAUUAGAGUGUUUAAAGCAGGCUUUCGCUUGAAUACAUUAGCAUGGAAUAAUGAAAUAGGACGUUUGAUUCUAUUUUGUUGGUUUCUAGGAUCGACGUAAUGAUUAAUAGGGAUAGUUGGGGGCAUUAGUAUUCAAUUGUCAGAGGUGAAAUUCUUGGAUUUAUUGAAGACUAACUACUGCGAAAGCAUUUGCCAAGGAUGUUUUCAUUAAUCAAGAACGAAAGUUAGGGGAUCGAAGACGAUCAGAUACCGUCGUAGUCUUAACCAUAAACUAUGCCGACUAGGGAUCGGAUGAUGUUAAUUUUUUAAUGACUCAUUCGGCGCCUUAC
rnacentral:misc_RNA from 2 species